ACCUUCGUGGUGUAGUGGUCAGCAUGCUCGACGCGUAACCGAGAGAUCCGUGGUUCGAUUCCCGGCGAAGGCG
rnacentral:tRNA from 1 species